rnacentral:rRNA from 1 species
UACGUAGGUGGCAAGCGUUGUCCGGAUUUACUGGGCGUAAAGCGCGCGCAGGCGGUCCUUUAAGUCUGAUGUGAAAGCCCACGGCUCAACCGUGGAGGGUCAUUGGAAACUGGGGGACUUGAGUGCAGAAGAGGAGAGUGGAAUUCCCGGUGUAGCGGUGAAAUGCGCAGAUAUCGGGAAGAACACCCGUGGCGAAGGCGGCUCUCUGGGACGGUACCGACGCUGAGACGCGAAAGCGUGGGGAGCGAACAGG